GAUCUUCGGAUCUAGUGGCGCACGGGUGAGUAACGCGUGGGAACCUACCUUUUAGUACGGGACAACGUUUGGAAACGAACGCUAAUACCGUAUACGCCCUCCGGGGGAAAGGUCAGCCGCUAAAAGAGGGGCCCGCGUCUGAUUAGCUUGUUGGUAAGGUAAUGGCUUACCAAGGCUACGAUCAGUAGCUGGUCUGAGAGGAUGAUCAGCCACACUGGGACUGAGACACGGCCCAGACUCCUACGGGAGGCAGCAGCGGGGAAUAUUGGACAAUGGAGGCAACUCUGAUCCAGCAAUGCCGCGUGUGUGAUGAAGGCCUUAGGGUUGUAAAGCACUUUCAACGGUGAAGAUGAUGACGGUAGCCGUAGAAGAAGCCCCGGCUAGCUUCGUGCCAGCAGCCGCGGUAAUACGAAGGGGGCGAGCGUUAUUCGGAAUUAUUGGGCGUAAAGGGCUCGCAGGCUGCUUGAACAGUUAGACGUGAAAUCCCCGGGCUCAACCUGGGAACUGCGUUUAAUACUAGCAAGCUAGAGAAAUAGAGAGGAAAGUGGAACUCCCAGUGUA
rnacentral:rRNA from 1 species